rnacentral:rRNA from 1 species
UACGAGGGGUCCAAGCGUUGUUCGGAAUUACUGGGCGUAAAGCGGGUGUAGGUGGCCGAGAAAGUCGGAUGUGAAAGCCCAGGGCUCAACCCUGGAAGUGCAUCCGAUACUACUUGGCUUGAGUACUGGAGAGGGAAGCGGAAUUCCUGGUGUAGCGGUGAAAUGCGUAGAUAUCAGGAGGAACAUCGGUGGCGAAGGCGGCUUCCUGGCCAUGUACUGACACUCAGAACCGAAAGCGUGGGUAGCAAACAGG